CCAGAUGAUGUUUUAAUAGCCUUAUAAAUGUUUUUUAAAUAACUAGUGAGUAACACUCCACUUACACUUCCAGUAAUAAGAAUCAUUUACUACAAACUAUGCUGACUACCUUAGAAAGUCAUACAGCAUCACAGUGAAAAAGCUAAAGGUACCUGUUGUGCUACAUGAUUCACCAGUAAUUUCUCUGCUUUAAAGGUCUAAAAAUUCUCCUUUCCAUUUUCCUUCCCUUGAUGUUAGGGGCUUAGUUGAGGUUCAUGUACUCAAGCUCCUCCACAAGCUGAGGAGCGAAAACUCUGGCCAUUUUCAUUCCUGCUUUCAUUCCCUAAAUUGAGGAGCUAAGCUGCUGUUAGGCAAAGAACCUAGCUUUUUCAAGAAACCAACCACUGAAUCCCAGCUCUGUCAGGGAAAUAAAAAAGUCUCAGCUACUUCCCCAAAAUUUUUACAUAGAUUGAAUAAGGGAAGCAUACAUAGCUCAGCACAGUGGUUGUCACAUAUUAAAGUCAAUAAACGGUGCUAUUUUAAUAUUGAUAACAGUGUUUAAACAUAUUUCAGUGUUUGCUAAAAUCUUAGUAAUAUUAAGUCCUCUGAGGAAUGCACUUAUAAAGCACACAACUCCAAAUCACUAAAGUCAUCUGACUGGGAAAGCGGGAAGGGGAAAGAAAUUAAGCUUACAGAAAAUGCUUUUUUGUACUACAACUAAAACUAUAACUAAAAC
rnacentral:lncRNA from 1 species